rnacentral:rRNA from 1 species
CCUACGGGAGGCUGCAGUGAGGAAUAUUGGUCAAUGGGCGCGAGCCUGAACCAGCCAAGUAGCGUGAAGGAUGACUGCCCUACGGGUUGUAAACUUCUUUUAUAAAGGAAUAAAGUGAGGCACGUGUGCAUGUUUGUAUGUACUUUAUGAAUAAGGAUCGGCUAACUCCGUGCCAGCAGCCGCGGUAAUACGGCGGAUCCGAGCGUUAACCGGAUUUAUUGGGUUUAAAGGGAGCGGAGAUGGGUUGUUAAAGCAGUUGUGAAAUUUUGCGGCUCAACCGUAAAAUUGCAAUUGAUACUGGCAGUCUUGAGUACAGUUGAGGUAGGCGGAAUUCGUGGUGUAGCGGUGAAAUGCUUAGAUAUCACGAAGAACUCCGAUUGCGAAGACAGCUUACUAAACUGCCACUGACAUUGAUGCUCGAAAGUGUGGGUAUCAAACAGGAUUAGAUACCCCAGUAGUC